UAUAUAUCAUAAAAGAAUGUAUAUAUAUAUACAUGUGUAUAUAUAAAUUAUAAUUAUUUACCACAUGCAUUUUUCUAAUAUAUUUUCUAGACUCUUGUGAUGAAAGUAUAACAUACUCAGAACUCAAAAUUCAUUGUUCUUCAAAUAUUCGGAAGAGAAAAAUAACUAGGAUUUUAAAAACAAAAGAGUCUCCAUGGUGCCUUGCUGCAGUGAUAUUUGCCUUGCUUUAUUUAAUUGUUCUGGUACUAGCUGCAUUUAUGAUAGCUAAGGUUUAUUGUCUAGAAGAACUUCUGAAUACAUGGGAAACCAACCAUCAAAAUGAGACUUCACCUUGCAAAAUAAUAUAAAACAGAGGUCCUUCUCUGAAGAAAACUGUUACUUUAUUUCUGCUGAAAAUAAAGUCUUGGCAGCAAGGAAAUUGUUCUGAAGCACUGAGCUCCAGUCUUAUCAAGACAAAUAACAAGGAAGAAUUGGAAAUGUAUGGCAUUCCUUCCUACAUUUUCUUAUACAGAAGAUAAUUACAGAGACAUUUUAACAUCCUGUGUUCAUUCAAGCCUGCUAAACUCAACAUAUUAUAAUAAUUGGAGAUCUCUGAACCAAACCCAAAAUAUCAAAAUAUGGGCUUAAAUGGUUAAGUGAUUUGUAAAUGCAAAUGUAUUUGCAUAUAGAAGUAAAUGCUAAUAUAUUAAAAUCUCAGACCUUGGCAAAGAAAUGGGAGGAAACCACAUAGAACAUGCAAACUGAAGAGCAUUUAGUCACAAUUAGCACUUAAAAAAUACCUAACAUUUAUUGAUUGCUUCCAAUAUUCCCGAUACUACUUCAGUGUAUCAUAUAUUAGAUCAUGUACUGCCCCAAUAAUUCCUACAAAACAGUACUAGUAUUGUGAUUGUCUUAUUAAUAAAGAAACUGAGCCCCAGAAAGAAUGAGAAAUUGUUCCAAAAUUGUAUGGCUAGUAAGAAUUAGAAACGUGAUUUAAGUCAAAUAGUUUUACUCUAGAGAUCAUGCGUGUAACUAUUAUGCUAUGCUGAUCUCGGAGUAACAAAUCAUAUCAAAUCAAGUUGUAAGAAUAUUGCUUCCUUAG